rnacentral:rRNA from 1 species
CCUACGGGUGGCAGCAGUGAGGAAUAUUGGUCAAUGGACGCAAGUCUGAACCAGCCAAGCAGCGUGCAGGAUGACGGCUCUAUGAGUUGUAAACUGCUUUUGUACGAGGGUAAACUCCGAUACGUGUAUCGGGUUGAAAGUAUCGUAUGAAUAAGGAUCGGCUAACUCCGUGCCAGCAGCCGCGGUAAUACGGAGGAUCCGAGCGUUAUCCGGAUUUAUUGGGUUUAAAGGGUGCGUAGGCGGUUUGAUAAGUGAGAGGUGAAAUGUCGUGGCUCAACCCCGAAACUGCCUCUAAUACUGUUAGACUAGAGAAUAGUUGAGGUAGGCGGAAUGUAUGGUGUAGUGGUGAAAUGCUUAGAGAUCAUACAGAACACCGAUUGCGAAGGCAGCUUACCAAACUAUAUCUGACGUUGAGGCACGAAAGCGUGGGUAGCAAACAGGAUUAGAUACCCGAGUAGUC